AAUCUUCCAAAUGGGGCGAAAGCCGAUUGGAGAAACGCCGCGGGAGGUAAGAAGGUUUACGAAUAGAAAAAUACUGUGGUAAGGGAAAACCAAGUGCCGAAGAAACUGGCGCCACCUUGACGGUACCUUAUAAGAAGGCAAUGGCUAACUACGUGCCAGCAGCCGCGGUAAUACGUAGGUGGCAAGCGUUGUCCGGAAUUAUUGGGCGUAAAGCGCGCGCAGGCGGUUUCUUAAGUCUGAUGUGAAGGCCCCCGGCUCAACCGGGGAAGGUCAUUGGAAACUGGGGAACUUGAGUGCAGAAGAGGAAAGUGGAAUUCCAAGUGUAGCGGUGAAAUGCGUAGAGAUUUGGAGGAACACCAGUGGCGAAGGCGACUUUCUGGUCUGUAACUGACGCUGAGGCGCGAAAGCGUGGGGAGCAAACAG
rnacentral:rRNA from 1 species